rnacentral:rRNA from 1 species
UACGUAGGGGGCUAGCGUUGUCCGGAAUCAUUGGGCGUAAAGAGCGUGUAGGCGGCCCGGUAAGUCCGCUGUGAAAGUCGGGGGCUCAACCCUCGGAUGCCGGUGGAUACUGUCGGGCUCGAGUACGGAAGGAGGCGAGUGGAAUUCCUGGUGUAGCGGUGAAAUGCGCAGAUAUCAGGAGGAACACCUAUUGCGAAGGCAGCUCGCUGGGACGUUACUGACGCUGAGACGCGAAAGCGUGGGGAGCAAACAGG